rnacentral:rRNA from 1 species
GACGAACGCUGGCGGCGUGCUUAACACAUGCAAGUCGAACGGAAAGGUCCUGCUUUUGUGGGGUGCUCGAGUGGCGAACGGGUGAGUAACACGUGAGUAACCUGCCCUUGACUUUGGGAUAACUUCAGGAAACUGGGGCUAAUACCGGAUAUGAGCUCCUGCUGCAUGGUGGGGGUUGGAAAGUUUCGGCGGUUGGGGAUGGACUCGCGGCUUAUCAGCUUGUUGGUGGGGUAGUGGCUUACCAAGGCUUUGACGGGUAGCCGGGCUGAGAGGGUGACCGGCCCCAUUGGGACUGAGAUGCGGCCCAGCCUCCUACGGGAGGCAGGAGCGGGGAAUAUUGCACAAUGGGCGGAAGCCUGAUGCAGCAACGCCGCGUGCGGGAUGACGGCCUUCGGGUUGUAAACCGCUUUCGCCUGUGACGAAGCGUGAGUGACGGUAAUGGGUAAAGAAGCACCGGCUAACUACGUG